GGGGAAUAUUGCGCAAUGGGGGAAACCCUGACGCAGCGACGCCGUGUGAGGGAAGAAGGCUUUCGGGUCGUAAACCUCUGUCGGGAAGGAAGAACCCCCCAGGUCCGAAUAGGGCCUGGGGCUGACGGUACUUCCAAAGGAAGCACCGGCUAACUCCGUGCCAGCAGCCGCGGUAAUACGGAGGGUGCAAGCGUUAAUCGGAAUCACUGGGCGUAAAGCGCGCGUAGGCGGCUUUUUAAGUCGGACGUGAAAGCCCUCGGCUCAACCGGGGAGUUGGGUAGGAAACUGGGAGGCUUGGGUCCUGGGAGGGGUGGGGAAUUUCGGGGUGUGGGGGGAAAUUCCGUGGAUAUCGGGGGAACACCGGUGGCGAAGGCGGCCACCUGGACAGGUACUGACGCUGAGGCGCGAAAGCGUGGGGAGCAAACA
rnacentral:rRNA from 1 species